CAGUCGAACGAUGAAGCCCAGCUUGCUGGGUGGAAGAGUGGCGAACGGGUGAGUAACACGUGAGUAACCUGCCCUGAACUCUGGGAUAAGCACUGGAAACGGUGUCUAAUACUGGAUACGACCUAUCACCGCAUGGUGUGUAGGUGGAAAGAUUUAUCGGUUCUGGAUGGACUCGCGGCCUAUCAGCUAGAUGGUGAGGUAAUGGCUCACCAUGGCGACGACGGGUAGCCGGCCUGAGAGGGUGACCGGCCACACUGGGACUGAGACACGGCCCAGACUCCUACGGGAGGCAGCAGUGGGGAAUAUUGCACAAUGGGCGCAAGCCUGAUGCAGCAACGCCGCGUGAGGGAUGACGGCCUUCGGGUUGUAAACCUCUUUUAGUAGGGAAGAAGCGAAAGUGACGGUACCUGCAGAAAAAGCACCGGCUAACUACGUGCCAGCAGCCGCGGUAAUACGUAGGGUGCAAGCGUUGUCCGGAAUUAUUGGGCGUAAAGAGCUCGUAGGCGGCUUGUCGCGUCUGCUGUGAAAUCCCGGGGCUCAACCCCGGGCCUGCAGUGGGUACGGGCAAGCUAGAGUGCGGUAGGGGAGAUUGGAAUUCCUGGUGUAGCGGUGGAAUGCGCAGAUAUCAGGAGGAACACCGAUGGCGAAGGCAGAUCUCUGGGCCGCUACUGACGCUGAGGAGCGAAAGCAUGGGGAGCGAACAGGAUUAGAUACCCUGGUAGUCCAUGCCGUAAACGUUGGGAACUAGAUGUAGGGCCUGUUCCACGGGUUCUGUGUCGUAGCUAACGCAUUAAGUUCCCCGCCUGGGGAGUACGGCCGCAAGGCUAAAACUCAAAGGAAUUGACGGGGGCCCGCACAAGCGGCGGAGCAUGCGGAUUAAUUCGAUGCAACG
rnacentral:rRNA from 1 species